UAGAUCUAGCUGCUGUUGAAGUUCCAUCUAUAAAUGGAUAAGACUCUCGUCUUAAUGUAUUAAGAAUUAAUAAUAGUUGAAGGAGCUAUAUCCAAUAUCUUAAUCUUAAAAAACCAAGAUAAGAUAUUGGAUAAGCUCCUUUCCCCGCCAAUGAAUGAUAAUUAUCUAUUUUUUUUAUUCCAAAUUAACGACGAGAUUUAUUAUCGUUUCUCGCAUGUCUCGCGAAAGUCAGAGUAGGUGCGAAUUCUCCCAAUUUGUGACCUACCAUACGAUCUGUUAUAUAAAUAGGUAAAUGUUCCUUUCCAUUAUGAAUAGCGAUUGUAUGGCCAAUCAUUUUGGGUAUAAUGGUAGAUGCCCGAGACCAAGUUACUAUUAUUUCUUUCUCCUCCCUCAUGUUGAGUUUUUCCAUUUUUUUCGAUAAAUGAUUAGCUACAAAAGGAUUUUUUUUUAGUGAACGUGUCACAGCCGAUUACUCCUUUUUUUACAUUUUAAAGAUUGCCACUCUAUGUCCAAWARAAWAUCUCGAUYUAAGUAUUAAGGUAAGAAUAAAUACAAUAAUGAUGAAKGGAAAAAARAGAAAAUCCUUUAGAUACAGGGCGGAUGUAGCCAAGUGGAUCAAGGCAGUGGAUUGUGAAUCCACCAUGCG
rnacentral:misc_RNA from 1 species